GGAGAGAUGGCGGAGUGGCCGAACGCGCCGGUCUUGAAAACCGGAGAGCCGCAAGGCUCCGGGGGUUCGAAUCCCUCUCUCUCCGCCA
rnacentral:tRNA from 1 species